CCCUUAGAUGUUCUGGGCUGCACACGUGCCACACUGGCAGGUUCAGCGAGCUUCAUGCCCUGAUCUGAAAGGAAUGGGAAAUCUUUUCAAAACCUGCCGUGCUUGGGAUAGAUGUUUGCAAUUAUUCAUCUUCAACGAGGAUUGCCUUGUAAGCGCACGUCAUCAGCGUGCAUUGAAUACGACCCUGUAUUCUGUACACACCGCCCGUCGCUCCUACCGAUUGAAGUUUUCGGUGAGUUGACAGGAGGAUUUUUUUGAAACUGGUUCGCCAGUGGAUUUUAGAUCCAAAUGCCAACGAAUCGAUGGCUUUAGAGGAAGGAGAAGUCGUAACA
rnacentral:rRNA from 1 species